rnacentral:misc_RNA from 1 species
GAUUGAAGAACGCAGCGAAAUGCGAUAAGUAAUGUGAAUUGCAGAAUUCAGUGAAUCAUCGAAUCUUUGAACGCACAUUGCGCCCGCCAGUAUUCUGGCGGGCAUGUCUGUUCGAGCGUCAUUUCAACCCUCAGGACCCUUUGGACCUGGUGUUGGGGCUCGGCCGCUACCCCGCGGCCGUCCCCGAAAGAUAGUGGCGGUCUCGCUGUAGCGUCCUCUGCGUAGUAAUUACACCUCGCACUGGAACGCGGCGCGGCCACGCCGUUAAACACCCCACUUCUCAAGGUUGACCUCGGAUCAGGUAGGAAUACCCGCUGAACUUAAGCAUAUCAAUAAGCGGAGGA